rnacentral:rRNA from 1 species
GGGACGAACGCUGGCGGCGUGCUUAACACAUGCAAGUGGAGCGACGAACCGGGGCUUGCCCCGGGGCAGAGCCGCGAACGGGUGAGUAACACGUGGGUUACCUGCCUUGAUGACCGGGACAACCCGAGGAAACUCGGGCUAAUACCGGAUGUGCCCGCAAGGGGAAAGGAAGCUUCGGCCUCCGCAUCAAGAUGGGCCCGCGGCCCAUUAGCUUGUUGGUGAGGUAACGGCUCACCAAGGCUUCGAUGGGUAGCUGGUCUGAGAGGACGAUCAGCCACACUGGGACUGAGAUACGGCCCAGACUCCUACGGGGGGCAGCAGUUUAGAAUAUUGUGCAAUGGGCGAAAGCCUGACACAGCGACGCCGCGUGGGUGAUGAAGGCCUUAGGGUCGUAAAGCCCUGUUGGUAGGGAUGAGCAAGGACAGUACCUACCGAGGAAGCCCCGGCUAACUACGUGCCAGCAGCCGC